UACGGAGGGGGCUAGCGUUGUUCGGAAUUACUGGGCGUAAAGCGCACGUAGGCGGCUUUGUAAGUUAGAGGUGAAAGCCCAGGGCUCAACCCUGGAAUUGCCUUUAAGACUGCAUCGCUUGAACAUCGGAGAGGUAAGUGGAAUUCCUGGUGUAGCGGUGAAAUGCGCAGAUAUCAGGAAGAACACCAAUGGCGGAAAGGCGG
rnacentral:rRNA from 1 species